CUACGGGGGGCAGCAGUGGGGAAUAUUGCACAAUGGACGAAAGUCUGAUGCAGUAACGCCGCGUGGAGGAUGACACAUUUCGGUGCGUAAACUCCUUUUAUAUGAGAAGAUAAUGACGGUAUCAUAUGAAUAAGCACCGGCUAACUCCGUGCCAGCAGCCGCGGUAAUACGGGGGGUGCAAGCGUUACUCGGAAUCACUGGGCGUAAAGAGCAUGUAGGUGGAUUAAUAAGUUGGAAGUGAAAUCCUAUAGCUUAACUAUAGAACUGCUUCCAAAACUGUUGAUCUAGAAUGUGGGAGAGGUAGAUGGAAUUUCUGGUGUAGGGGUAAAAUCCGUAGAGAUCAGAAGGAAUACCGAUUGCGAAGGCGAUCUACUGGAACACUAUUGACACUCAGAUGCGAAAGCGUGGGGAGCAAACAGGAUUAGAUACCCCCGUAGUC
rnacentral:rRNA from 1 species